CGGGGCGUGGCGCAGCCUGGUAGCGCGUCUGCUUUGGGAGCAGAAGGCCGCUGGUUCGAAUCCAGUCGCCCCGA
rnacentral:tRNA from 1 species